rnacentral:rRNA from 1 species
AUUAAACGCUGGCGGCAGGCCUAACACAUGCAAGUCGAGCGAGAGGCGGAAGGGUGAGGAAUGUAUGGGGACUUCCCGAUAGAGGGGGAUCACUACGGGAAACGGUGGCUAAUACCGCAUCCUUUCGGCUAGCCCAUAUGGGAUUAGCUAGUAGGUAAGUGAAUGGCUAACUUAGGCGACGCUCAGUAGCCGGCUUUAGCGAGUGUAAGGCUACAUUGGGACUGAUACACGGCCCAUACUCCUACGGAGGCAGCAGUGGGGAAUAGGGCACAACGGGCGCAAGCCUGAUGCAGCCAUGCCGCGUGUAUGACGAAGGCCCUAGGUUUGUAAAGUACUUUCAGUCUGGAGGCGUUACCGACAGAAGAAGCACCGGCUAACUCCGUGCCAGCAGCCGCGGUAAUAC